UUCGGAUAAGGAACAAAGUACCAAAUUUUCAUGGAAUUCGGUGACCCACUAGAUCGAUUUUUCAUGGAAUGGCUGUAUAUUUAGGUAUUUGGGUUUUUCGGAGAUUCUUUCUGGCUUUCUCUCCAAGAAGUUGAUAGAAUUUUCUGAAGGGUUGUCCCUUAAAGAUGUCCAGUCGCAAAUGUUUGAAUUACAUCGUUACAUUCAAGGUAUUUUCAUCAAGGUAAUACAAUCUAAGCAGUCAGUGGAUGCGGGAGCGGUAAACAGCGAGGGGUUGGAAAAUAACAGCUGGCGAGUCGGCGAGCUGGCGAGUUCGUUAAUGUGAUUUUCCCCUCUAGUUGUUGCCUGUGGUUGCUAUCGUUUCCAUGGGUUUGUUUAUUAUUGAUCGUAGUGCUUUGGUAUUGAGAAGAAAAUCUGUAAGCAUUUACAAACAAACAAUAAAUUCCAUGGAGUGAAAAGAUCCAGUUCAGAGGUGCUUCCUUUCAUGGGACGGGCAAGGAUAACCACAUAAGUUUUAAAUGGAGGCUGUUGCCCGUAGGUAUACGGCGACAGUCUAACAUAGAAAAAGGAAGUUCACCGAAAUUUCGCGGUGUGGCGUACCAUCGGCUGAUCAGCGGAAUCCCAAGGAUGGCAGUAAUAGAAUUAUUGACACUAUCAUUUACUAACCAUUGUUCUGAUUUAAAAGAGAGAUGGCAAUGUAACAAGGCUUAACCGAUUAAACUGUCGAGUGAGCGUGUUCUCUCUCUAAACGGGUGCCAGUCAUACAGGGAAGCCGAUUGAGUGUAAAAUAAAAGCUUUUCUUAUUGUGAAUAGGUAUGUUUCUAUUUUUCAGAAAUUUUAUUUAAUUAAAAAGGCUUUGACCUGUAGUACAUUGAAAGUUGAAUAAAAUUCGAUUAAAUUUUA